UACGUAGGGGGCUAGCGUUGUCCGGAAUCAUUGGGCGUAAAGCGCGCGUAGGCGGCCCGGUAAGUCCGCUGUGAAAGUCAAAGGCUCAACCUUUGAAUGUCAGCGGAUACUGCCGGGCUAGAGUCCGGAAGAGGCGAGUGGAAUUCCACGUGUAGCGGUGAAAUGCGUAGAGAUGUGGAGGAACACCAGUGGCGAAGGCGACUCUUUGGCCUGUAACUGACGCUGAGGCGCGAAAGCGUGGGGAGCAAACAGG
rnacentral:rRNA from 1 species